rnacentral:lncRNA from 1 species
GGAGAACAAAGCACAGCACAUAAUGUUACCGCUUGAUCAGAUCAACCACCCACACACUGCAGAGUGUAUAAAAAAAUGUGUUGAAAAAUGCACAGAGGACUGAGAAAUACCUCAACACAAAAUUCUGACCACCAUAACUGACAACGGAAGCAACAUGGUUGCAGUAUUCAAAACUACUGAACAAGAGCCCAGCAGCUUAGAUAAUGACGCAGCUGAAUCCAUGGAGAGUGACUCUGAAGACUCUGAGGUGGCCAGAGCAGAACAGAGGUAAAUUAUUUCAGUUUAGCAAAUUAGAUUGUCUGUCAGAUUUCAGCUGUGUGUGUGCAACUGUCUAUACAUUAUUAAUUGUAUUACAUGGUGGUGUUACAUAAUUUUCCACAGAAGAAUAAUUAUUUCCUCUCCCUCUCUCUGUGUUCUUGUCUUUUAUAUCUAGGUAUGGAGCCAUAUGUUGGACCCCCUGUGUUGUGCACACCCUGCAACUCGUGGUGAAGAUGAUCCAGGAAGAAGCAAGUGUCAAACGAAUACUGGACAUAGUCAGAGUGCUCGUCAGGCUCUUCGCAAUUCAUCAAAGGCAACUGAGAAGCUGCUGAAGGAGUGUCAACUAACUCUGGUCAAAGACUGCCCCACAAGAUGGUCCAGCACAUACCUGAUGAUAGACAGGCUUCUUGAAGUCAAGGAGUCUGUUGUCAAGGUUGCUGAGGAGAUGGCCUGGGCCUAUCUCCUGCCAAGUGAGUGGCUGAAGCGGACCGCUAUUAGAGACUUAUUCCUCCCCUUCGCUGAGCAUACCCAGAUGCUCCAAAGCGACACACAGUCGUUAUCGCUUGUGGUGCCUGCCCUCCUGGACCUGCAUGUUCACCUCUUUGACUUCCUCCUUGCCCAGGGUUCUAGCUUCAAGGACCUUGGCUCCCUGGCAAAGGAAAUGAAGGCAAACAAGGACCAGCGUUUCAGCUGCUUUCUUGAUCACACCAACUCACAGUUCUCACCCCUCACUGCUGCUGCAUGCUUCCUUGACCCGACAGUCGCCCUUGGAGCACUCCUUGCCAACGAUGAUGAGCACAUUCAGGAGCUUCUAAGCAAAGCCGAAGAUUACAAUGCUCAGUUGGUGCCACCAGUCAUACAGGAGGAGGACGGGGAGUCAGAGGACGUAGAGGAAGCAUCAAAAGAGGUACCAGGACCAGAGGAAGUGUUCGAGGUUCAGAUUCUUGUCAAAAACAAACCAGCCAUUCAGACCGACUACCCUCCCAAAGCCAUGAGUCAGGCAGGAAAUAAAGAGGUUCAAGGAGAAGCUAUCACAGCCCCAUGACAUAAUGGAAGAGGAAGACAAAGAGCAACAGACUGCCCUUGGCUUUUGGGUUGCACAGGGAGAUUCUGCUUAUCCAAGCCUCAAACCUAUUGCCUUAGAUCUUCUGGCCAUGCCAGCAUCUCAAGCGUUUGCUGAGCGAGUCUUAAGUGUCACAGGGGACCUCAGUCAUGGCCUUCGCAAUAGAGCCAGAGUCAUUCUAGAGAGAAGUGCUUUCCUCAAACUGAACCGGUAGACACAUUUUUAUAACAAUAGGUA